rnacentral:rRNA from 1 species
UGGGGAAUAUUGCACAAUGGGGGAAACCCUGAUGCAGCGACGCCGCGUGGAGGAAGAAGGUCUUCGGAUUGUAAACUCCUGUUGUUGAGGAAGAUAAUGACGGUACUCAACAAGGAAGUGACGGCUAACUACGUGCCAGCAGCCGCGGUAAAACGUAGGUCACAAGCGUUGUCCGGAAUUACUGGGUGUAAAGGGAGCGCAGGCGGGAAGACAAGUUGGAAGUGAAAUCCAUGGGCUCAACCCAUGAACUGCUUUCAAAAACUGUUUUUCUUGAGUAGUGCAGAGGUAGGCGGAAUUCCUAGUGUAGCGGUGAAAUGCGUAGAUAUUAGGAAGAACACCAGUGGCGAAGGCGGAUGACUGGACGACAACUGACGGUGAGGCGCGAA